rnacentral:rRNA from 1 species
GAGUUUGAUACUGGCUCAGAUUGAACGCUGGCGGCAUGCCUUACACAUGCAAGUCGAACGGAUGACGGGAGCUUGCUCCUUGAUUCAGCGGCGGACGGGUGAGUAAUGCCUAGGAAUCUGCCUGGUAGUGGGGGACAACGUUUCGAAAGGAACGCUAAUACCGCAUACGUCCUACGGGAGAAAGCAGGGGACCUUCGGGCCUUGCGCUAUCAGAUGAGCCUAGGUCGGAUUAGCUAGUUGGUGGGGUAAUGGCUCACCAAGGCGACGAUCCGUAACUGGUCUGAGAGGAUGAUCAGUCACACUGGAACUGAGACACGGUCCAGACUCCUACGGGAGGCAGCAGUGGGGAAUAUUGGACAAUGGGCGAAAGGCCUGAUCCAGCCAUGCCGCGUGUGUGAAGAAGGUCUUCGGAUUGUAAAGCACUUUAAGUGGAGAAGGGCAGUAAGUUAUACCUUGCUGUUUUGACGUUACCGACAGAAUAAGCACCGGCUAACUCUGUGCCAGCAGCCG